UGCCAGCAGCCGCAACUCAAAUAAAUUGACGGGGCGUGUGCCAGCAGCCGCCAACUCAAAGAAAUUGACGGGAACUCAGUGAAAUUGACGGGAACUCAAAGAAAUUGACGGGACGUGUGCCAGCAGCCGCAACAAGCCAGUGUGCCAGCAGCCGCAACAAGCCAACUCAAAGAAAUUGACGGGACGUGUGCCAGCAGCCGCCAACUCAAAUAAAUUGACGGGA
rnacentral:rRNA from 1 species